rnacentral:lncRNA from 1 species
GGAAACUUUGCUGUUUUCACCGUUAGUGAGGAGCGGUCAAGGAUGCGUAUUAAGAAAAUAACUAGAAGUGGCCGCAUGAUGUACCUCUCACCAAUGAGAUGCCUGUCAAGGGUAUACGUGGGUCUUUUGAUGCACUAGGCUAGGAUGUUGGCGAAGAGUAGCAUAUGUAUCUUCAAUUUCAACCUAAGCCAAAAAAUAAAAAUAAAUAAGAAGAAGCAUCCCCAAGAGGCAAUGGCAAAUUGAAUAAGCAGAUCUACUGGUAAUUGCUUUAUGAAUCUGGGAGCUCCAGACCUAGGAUCUUAUUCACUGAUUUGAAGAGUUCAUGCAUGGAGCCAGUAGGCGGUACACAUGGGUAAAAACUGGCUGCGGCUAAACAGGAAUGCUGAUGUUUCGUGGAGACGGGGAUUGUCACUCUACCUCUUGUCCAAGCAUAAACCUGGGGGCACUCCUUCUGUGAGAAUGCAGUCUGAAAGGCUGUCUACAGAUGCACCCGUGAUAGGUUACCUUGGGAGAACCCCCAGCUGUGUCUGCAGUGUUUCAGGGUCAUAUAGCUGUGAGAAUUGCGGUCAUGUACGUGAAGCUUUAUACCUAAGUGUCAGCACAUCAUUAGACAGAAAAGAAAGUUAUAUCACAAGGAAAAGAUUAAGCCCUGGUCACAUCCUGCAUCUUCUUCAGUAAACACUCUGGUUGGAUGACUUGAUGAAAGCCAACAAUCUUUUGAUUUCUCUCUUCACCUAUAUCAGCAGACCCAAAUACAGUUAAUAAAUGGUUAAAGGUUGAUAACCAUCACACCCAUUCCAACAACAUCCAUCCAAAUGGAAGAUGCCUUGAUUGCAACAGUAUCUGGGGAAUAAUGCUACGGGUGACUGAUAAACCCUGUUUUUGAUGAUGUUGAUGUGGAAUCUUUAUUUUAUUUUAUUAGCAUAUAUAAAAACCCAGUUGACAAAAUUUAUGAAAACUUCACACCUCCCUGGCCUAAGAUUUUUCCCUUGGUCUUAUUAAAUUUGAAAGCCACCUGCUUUAGGCUUCAUAAACUUUCACCUUUUAAAAUAACCACAGGCCAUUCUAUGUCCUUAGCUUUCUCUGCUACUGACCCUCAGUUA